GAUGAACGCUAGCGGCAGGCCUAACACAUGCAAGUCAGGGGUAACAUGGAAAGCUUGCUUUUCUGAUGACGACCGGCGCACGGGUGCGUAACGCGUAUACAACCUACCUUUUAGCGGGGAAUAGCCCAGGGAAACUUGGAUUAAUGCCCCAUAGUAUAUAGACUUCUCCUGAAGUUUAUAUUAAACAUUUAUGGCUAUUAGAUGGGUAUGCGUCCUAUUAGUUAGUUGGUAAGGUAACGGCUUACCAAGGCAGCGAUAGGUAGGGGUCCUGAGAGGGAGAUCCCCACACUGGUACUGAGACACGGACCAGACUCCUACGGGAGGCAGCAGUGAGGAAUAUUGGACAAUGGGCGAGAGCCUGAUCCAGCCAUGCCGCGUGCAGGAAGACUGCCCUAUGGGUUGUAAACUGCUUUUACAGAGGAAGAACCACCCCCACGUGUGGGGGUUUGACGGUACUCUGCGAAUAAGGAUCGGCUAACUCCGUG
rnacentral:rRNA from 1 species